AAUUUUUCUUAGUUUAUGUGAAUUGUUCUAAUUGCUUCAUUUUUAUUUUAUUAGCGUCCUACAAGCUUUUCGGGCCCAACGAGAUAUCCAAACCUCAAGGAGGGGCGCCAACUCCAUUACAUGGAUUAAAGUGGCGUGUCCUCAACAACGUAAUCAAAUAGAUUGCGGGUAUUUCAUGUUGAGGUUUAUGCGAGAUACUCUUGCUUUGGGCCGAUUAAUGAUUCCCACCGAUUACUUUGAGGAAUUCAAGUGUGCAUUUUAUACAAAGGAUCAAGUGGACGAAAUCAAAGAGGAGUGGUGUCAA